rnacentral:rRNA from 1 species
UACGAAGGGUGCAAGCGUUACUCGGAAUUACCGGGCGUAAAGCGUGCGUAGGUGGUUUGUUAAGUCUGCUGUGAAAGCCCCGGGCUCAACCUGGGAAUGGCAGUGGAUACUGGCAAGCUAGAGUGCGGUAGAGGGGUGUGGAAUUCCCGGUGUAGCGGUGAAAUGCGUAGAGAUCGGGAGGAACACCAGUGGCGAAGGCGGCACCCUGGACCAGCACUGACACUGAGGCACGAAAGCGUGGGGAGCAAACAGG